rnacentral:rRNA from 1 species
UUCCGGUUGAUCCUGCCGGACCUGACUGCUAUCGGAUUGGUACUAAGCCAUGUGAGUCGUUGUAGUAAUACAAGGCAUACGGCUCAGUAACACGUAGUCAAUCUAACCUAUGGACGGGGAUAACCUCGGGAAACUGAGGAUAAUACCUGAUAGAUCAUAAUGCCUGGAACGGUUUAUGGUCCAAAUGAUUCGUCGCCGUAGGGUGGGACUGCGGCCUAUCAGCUUGUUGGUGAGGUAAUGGCCCACCAAGGCUAUUACAGGUACGGGCUCUGAGAGGAGUAGCCCGGAGAUGGGUACUGAGACACGGACCCAGGCCCUAUGGGGCGCAGCAGGCGAGAAACCUUUGCAAUGUGCGCAAGCACGACAAGGUUAAUCCGAGUGUUUCCUGCUAAAGGAAUCUUUUGUUAGUUGUAAAACCACUGAUGAAUAAGGGGUGGGCAAGUUCUGGUGUCAGCCGCCGCGGUAAAACCAGCACCUCAAGUGGUCAGGAUGAUUAUUGGGCCUAAAGCAUCCGUAGCCUGUUCUGAAAGUUUCCGGUUAAAUCCAUUAACUCAACUAAUGGGCUGCCGAAAAUACUACAGAACUAGGGAGUGGGAGAGGUAGACGGUACUCGGUAGGAAGGGGUAAAAUCCUUUGAUCUAUUGAUGACCACCUGUGGCGAAGGCGGUCUACCAGAACACGUUCGACGGUGAGGGAUGAAAGCUGGGGGAGCAAACCGGAUUAGAUACCCGGGUAGUCCCAGCUGUAAACGAUGCAAACUCGGUGAUGCACUGGCUUUUGGCCAGUGCAGUGCCGCAGGGAAGCCGUUAAGUUUGCCGCCUGGGAAGUACGUACGCAAGUAUGAAACUUAAAGGAAUUGGCGGGGGAGCACCACAAGGGGUGAAGCCUGCGGUUCAAUUGGAGUCAACGCCGGA